rnacentral:rRNA from 1 species
GAGGAAUAUUGGUCAAUGGACGAGAGUCUGAACCAGCCAAGUAGCGUGAAGGAUGACUGCCCUAUGGGUUGUAAACUUCUUUUAUACGGGAAUAAAGUGAGGCACGUGUGCCUUUUUGUAUGUACCGUAUGAAUAAGGAUCGGCUAACUCCGUGCCAGCAGCCGCGGUAAUACGGAGGAUCCGAGCGUUAUCCGGAUUUAUUGGGUUUAAAGGGAGCGUAGGCGGACGCUUAAGUCAGUUGUGAAAGUUUGCGGCUCAACCGUAAAAUUGCAGUUGAUACUGGGUGUCUUGAGUACAGUAGAGGCAGGCGGAAUUCGUGGUGUAGCGGUGAAAUGCUUAGAUAUCACGAAGAACUCCGAUUGCGAAGGCAGCUUGCUGGACUGUAACUGACGCUGAUGCUCGAAAGUGUGGGUAUCAAACAGGAUUAGAUACCCUGGUAGUCCACACAGUAAACGAUGAAUACUCGCUGUUUGCGAUAUACAGUAAGCGGCCAAGCGAAAGCGUUAAGUAUUCCACCUGGGGAGUACGCCGGCAACGGUGAAACUCAAAGGAAUUGACGGGGGCCCGCACAAGCGGAGGAACAUGUGGUUUAAUUCGAUGAUACGCGAGGAACCUUACCCGGGCUUGAAUUGCAACUGAAUGAUGUGGAGACAUGUCAGCCGCAAGGCAGUUGUGAAGGUGCUGCAUGGUUGUCGUCAGCUCGUGCCGUGAGGUGUCGGCUUAAGUGCCAUAACGAGCGCAACCCUUAUCGAUAGUUACCAUCAGGUUAUGCUGGGGACUCUGUCGAGACUGCCGUCGUAAGAUGUGAGGAAGGUGGGGAUGACGUCAAAUCAGCACGGCCCUUACGUCCGGGGCUACACACGUGUUACAAUGGGGGGUACAGAAGGCAGCUACACGGCGACGUGAUGCUAAUCCCGAAAGCCUCUCUCAGUUCGGAUUGGAGUCUGCAACCCGACUCCAUGAAGCUGGAUUCGCUAGUAAUCGCGCAUCAGCCACGGCGCGGUGAAUACGUUCCCG